rnacentral:rRNA from 1 species
GACGAACGCUGGCGGCGUGCUUAACACAUGCAAGUCGAACGGAAAGGCCCUGCUUUUGUGGGGUGCUCGAGUGGCGAACGGGUGAGUAACACGUGAGUAACCUGCCCUUGACUUUGGGAUAACUUCAGGAAACUGGGGCUAAUACCGGAUAGGAGCUCCUGCUGCAUGGUGGGGGUUGGAAAGUUUCGGCGGUUGGGGAUGGACUCGCGGCUUAUCAGCUUGUUGGUGGGGUAGUGGCUUACCAAGGCUUUGACGGGUAGCCGGCCUGAGAGGGUGACCGGCCACAUUGGGACUGAGAUACGGCCCAGACUCCUACGGGAGGCAGCAGUGGGGAAUAUGGCACAAUGGGCGGAAGCCUGAUGCAGCAACGCCGCGGGCGGGAUGACGGCCUUCGGGUUGUAAACCGCUUUCGCCUGUGACGAAGCGUGAGUGACGGUAAUGGGUAAAGAAACACCGGCUAACUACGU